rnacentral:ncRNA from 1 species
UCAGCCUGCUAACUAGCUAUGCGGAGGUAUCCCUCCGCGCCAGCUUCUUAGAGGGACUACGGCCUUUCAAGCCGGGAAGUUUGAGGCAAUAACAGGUCUGUGAUGCCCUUAGAUGUUCUGGCCGCAGCGGCGCUACACUGAUGUAUUCAACGAGCAUAUAGCCUUGGCUGACAGGCCCGGGUAAUCUUUGAAAUUUCAUCGGAUGGGGAUAGAUCAUUGCAAUUGUUGGUCUUCAACGAGGAAUUCCUAGUAAGCGCGAGUCAUCAGCUCGCGUUGACUAGUCCCUGCCUUUGUACACCGCCGUCGCUCCUACCGAUUGAAUGAUCCGGUGAAGUGUUCGGAUCGCGGCGACGUGGGCGGUUCGCUGCCCGCGACGUCGCGAGAAGUCCACUGAACCUUAUCAUUUAGAGGAAGGAGAAGUCGUAACAAGGUUUCGUAGGUGAACCUGCGAAGGAUCAUUG